GUGUGUGUGUGUGUGUGUGUGUGUAACUUAUGUAACUAUAAAUAAUAAUAUAAAUAAACAAAAGUAGGUAGAAAAAUGUUACAUAGAUAAUAUCUCAUUUAAAAAAACAUUAAAGAAGUUUCUUAGAUAUGGAUUAGAAGUUUUUAUUCUUAUAGAUUUGUCAUGUGGCUAUUAAAACUUGUCUUAAAAGCAUAUUAUUUUUAAAAAGUUGUGUUGGAAUCAACUUAAAACUUCAGAUUUGCACCACAAGCCUCACAUUUCUUACAAAGUUUUACAAGACCUUCUUGGAAGCAUGUAUAUAUAGAGGCAAAAUUGAGGCUAUUCUCAAUCUCAUCGAUAAAUUUCUUGUAUUCAAUAUAACAUCAUAUAACCAUGAUUAACUUCAAAAAUAAUAUUUACUUCACAAAUAAAAUAAGCAUUCAAAAUAAAAUUACUCUGUUCAAUAUAUAUAUAUAUAUAUAUAUAUUAAUGAAUUACAAUGGAUAAGUGUUAACCUAAUUGAUAUGAAAUUUUACAUUUUGUACCUAUGCUGAACUCCAUGCUACUGAAUUGUUUUUUUUUGAAAGAACGGAAUAUCUCUCAAAAGUAGAAUGAAGAAAGUGGUUCUCAAGACAAUGAGCACCUAACCAGAUACAAAUUACUCAAAAAAAAUAUAUUUUAUAAUGAUCUUUUUUGGGCUUCUUACAAC
rnacentral:lncRNA from 1 species